UUUCUUUCGACCGGGCGACGCCCACGCGACUCUUUUCUUCGGGUUGGCGAGGGUUGAUUGUUUCCUAUCUCCGUUCUCGACAUUUCCAGAUUUUAUUUUGUUAAUUUUCUUGUCUAAAUAACCGUUUUGCGAGCUUUGUUGCCCAAUUCAGCUCAAUACAAUAAGGUAAUUGCCCUUUUACUCAGUUUUUUUUGCACCACGUGGGACACAAUUUCGGAGGAACAACUUUGGAAGGCUUUGCUGCUGCAGCCAAAUAGCGGCGCAGAAACACUAAGACAAAAAAGUAAAACAGACUCCCGGGGCGAGAGGAGUGAGAGAGUAUUUUGAUUGAAGUCACCAUCCAAAACUGUACCGGCUUUACCGUGAAUAUCGUGAAUAAUGAGCACAAGAGUUACGCUUAAAAAAGCGAACCGUCCGCACCGUGGUGCUUAUGAUAAACGAAAAAGUUCUGCAGUACCUCGUUCAUGUCAUUAAAACCGCCAUUAUAUCGGCAAGCAGAAGUAAAUGUGGCUUAGAACUGUGGACUGAUUAUUUAACAGAAACAACUGAGCUAAAUAAUGAAAGAAAGAAAGAAAUAAGAGAGUAGUAGCUAAAUCUCAUGCGAGAUAAACACAUACUUUAAAGACGAACGAGGGUGGGCUAUUGGGAUGUUCCCUUGUGUCAUCCUGUGAUCCAUUUACUAUUAAACAUAGGAUGAAGUAGACACCUUUGGUGAGGCCCCACUUCAAUGCGAUGCAAAUUUGCAGAAAUCAGAACACAUUCAUUGAGAAAGCUAAAGGAUUAUCUAAAAAUAAUGCAAGAAAGAAAAAAUAUUCAGUUAAUUAAGCUAUAGCAAUAAUGGUCAAAAAAAUAUUAACGUGAGUAUUUAUUACAACAACUUUUGGAAUAUUAAGUAAAAUCGGUAAAAUUUUUUUGCACAAUUGAAUGUAUAUUUUUAAAUUUAAGAAAAUAACAAAAUUAUAAUUUCA